rnacentral:lncRNA from 1 species
CAUUGUCUAUCUUCUCAAAUUUCAAACAAACUAUUGGGGUUAUCAUCACACUGGGUUAAAAUAAACACUUUGCGCCACCUAAUUCAAAGUCAAAUAUCCGCAAUAGAUUUGCUUUUGCUUUAGGUGUUCUAACCAUAAAAAAGAAAAGAAAAAAAUAAUUAUUUUUAUUAUUCUUUUGGCUGACAUUAAUCAGGAAAUGAUACAUUUUCAACC